CCAGCUGGCCGGACGGCCGCUGCCGGAUUGCGGGCGUCUGUGGCCCAUCGAGCAAACCCGGUGGAGGAAAGUCCGGGCUCCAUGGAGACACGGUGACGGCUAACGGCCGCCGGGGGCGACCCCAGGGAAAGUGCCACAGAAAGCAAACCGCCUUCGGUUCGCCGGAGGUAAGGGUGAAAGGGUGCGGUAAGAGCGCACCGCGCGGCCGGCGACGGUCGUGGCAGGGCAAACCCCACCGGGAGCAAGACCAAAUAGGGAUGGCCGGGCGCGCGGCAACGCGGCGCCAGGUCCCGUCUUCAGACCCGCCAUCCGGGUUGGUUGCUUGAGGCGCUCAGCAAUGGGCGUCCCAGACGAAUGGCCGUCGCGGAGGGAAUCUUGGCCAACACUCGGCAAGCCGGUGUUGGGCUACCUUCCAGACAGAACCCGGCUUACAGGCCAGCUGGCAAU
rnacentral:RNase_P_RNA from 1 species